ACAUCGGUAGCACAGUGGUUACUGCAGUCUGCCGGAGACAGAGAGACGCGGGUUCAACUCCCGUCCGAUGUC
rnacentral:tRNA from 1 species